GGGCAAAGUCGGUAUUUGCCCACAUAACCCUAACUAGGGUUACUUAACACUCCCCCUUGGGCGAAUACCGCGACCAACACAUGCCUCAUUAAAACUCCGAAAAACCCAGUGGGAAAAAUGUGGAGAAAGAGUGCAUGGUGAUACAAAUUGCAUUUGCACUUUAUUGCCUCGUUAAAAACCUCAUGUGAGAAAUUUCAAGAAAACUCACAAAGGGAAAAAGAGUACAACAACUGUCAUCGGAACAGAUUUCGAUCCUUUGGGAUCUAGAUUCUAUCGAAUCUUUUACAAGGGCUAACUUUAGAAAUGUGCUCCCCCUGAUCCUUGCAAAACCGUAUCAAUAAGGCAAAAUAUCUUCUUCUAGAAGUAUAUGUACAUAAAGAUUUAGCAAACGGAUUGCAUAUCCUUGCAAGGACUAUUUCAGGAACUUUACCUCUACUCACUUCUAGGAUAUACGAGGUAAGUGCACAUAUCAAUAUAAAUAAGCCACUUUGACUGAUGGUGUACGAUCGACUAGAUCUAUAUAUUUGAUAGAAAGUUCCAUAAAGGUUCAUAUAUUGAUCAUCAAGCUCACGCCUUCAGGGCAUAGAAUAUGACAUUUAUUGUCUCACGGAUGUGAUCAAUAUAAGCAUUCGCUCCCCCUGACGAUGACAUCUGUCAAAGUCGUUAUCUCUCAUAACUCAAGCAUAUUCUUCAAGAUAUAUGUCUCGUUAUUCAUCUGGAAUAAUGAGAAUGGAUGAGGUUGGGGUGCUAUCAUUUUCUAUCUUACACCACAAUUUAUACAUAGUUGUGCAAAGCAAAUAACAUGUCCUUCAAUAGGACUUAGGGGAUAAUAUAGUUGCAAUAGUACAUAUUCUAAAUAUGACACAUCGCUCGAGGCGUUCAUCCAUUGCAACAUCUAUGAUGGUGUAAUAAAAGUCCAUCAAAGAUCGUAAUCCAUCAGGGAUUUUUCAUCGACAAGAUAUAUCGUUAUAGUCUGCCAUUCUGGCAUAAUGGGGAUAUUUUGCCAGUAACACCUAAAUCUUAUAGGUUUCUGCCAUCAAGGCUUUAGAGGAUAUCGUAAUUCCACAUAUAGUGGAAAAUAUCAUGAGUAAAACUCGUGAAAUGCACAUGUGCUUAUUUGGUGAACUUCAAGUCCUUUGGUACCUCAUCAUAUUCCUUUUCGGGUAUGUAUGGGUCUUUAUCCCUUAAUAGGGGUUAUCAAACUUUGGUGUUCAACACAGACUUUGUUUCUUCUGAAAAGGUUCCAUCUGGGAACUAUAAUCUCAGCUAGGAGAUAUUCUCCCUACACAGGAGAGUGUUCAUUCGUCAGGAAUGUAUUAUUCGGUAUGAGAUUUAUAUGUUGCAUAUAAUUCAAAUAUAUGAGUCCUCCUAGGAUCUCAUGACGGAUCUUCAGAAUCCUAUUAACUGCAUAUUAUAAUUCAUGCCAUUUGCCAGAUAUAUUACAUAGCGGAAUAGUGUUUAUUCAACACAUAUGUGGGAUAGGUCUCUCACAAGACCACUUGAACCAUCGCAUUCACCACACAUUAUUUCAAUAGUGCCCAUAAUGUCUGAACUUCAAGCUCGCGACUUUCACUUUGCGAUUCUUGGUUCAACCUCGAUUGCAUUUAUUAAUGACCCGAUAAGAGAGCUUAAAGCACUCAUGCCUAGGACUUUGUUUAGGAUCCAUUUGCAAUCUAAAGAGGCAAUAUAGGUGUCGACAUAUUUGUCUCCCACAUUUAAUAAUGAUCUCCGUUAUUUCCCAAAACGAAAGAUUCAUUGUUCCGUAUUCCCAGCACAAUGAUAUUGCGCGCAUUGCUAGGAAUUUCAUCAUCAAGAUGAACCUCUUCGUGAGGCAAAUCACCAUCAGGGUGAAUUAAUCGGAGGAGAGUUAUCACAGACCACGUGAAUCUGCAAUCAGGACAUAUGCUUUGACUAAGGUUGAUGGAUCAUAUUCGCAGGCGUCCCCGAGAAUAGAUCAAAUACCAAUAAGUCAAAUGUGGAUAUGAUAUUAAUCCCGGGUAUAUCCACAUCUACAUCAAGUAGAAGCAUUCAAACCAAUAUGGUUACUCCUCAACGAUUUCUGGCAAACUCCAUAUACACAGGAGUACACACCGAACGACAGGUUCAGUUUGUUCUUGUGUGCGUUUAAUAGAAUAUUGCGGCAUUACACUAUAUGGGCAUUCCUCCCCCUAAUGCCGAGAUGUUCUAAAAGCAUACAGAUAAAAUCCCCAACCACAAUCAUCUAGUUUGUGGCCAAUGUAUGCUAUUGUGGUGAUUUAUUUGGGAAAUCUUACGCACAUUACAGAUAGGGGUUUUAUGCAGUGAGCUUUGGACUUAGAUUAAUGUAGUGGCAUGAAUACUACAUAUUUGUGCUUCAACAUGAAGGGUUACUAUCAACAUCCCACGAGACACGCAACAACAAGUUGCUUCGUGGUUACAAUUCCGCAAACUUAUUGUUAAUAUUACCAAGUGCAUAGUCAAUCAUUAAGAUUUAGACUAAUAUGCGCAACACUAUUUUAUCCAUAUGGGUCCUUCAGGGGCUCAUGCAUACCAUUCGUCGUUUGGAGCCAGUAGUUGACUUCAGAUCAACAACUAAAAUGACCAUCAGGGUCUAGCGCUCACAAGGACAUUCACUGGUUGCAUUGUGCUUUCAAGCACAUAGGAGAAUUGUGCGUAUAUAAUGUUGGUAAAGUGCACGACAUCAGGCCAAUGCUGCCAAGCAGAGAUUUUUAUAUGCAGAGAUGUAUAGUCCAGCUCGUUUUAUUAUUGCCCAUGGUUUACCCAAUUACUCAUACCGUUCUGAAAUUGGGUAUCGAUUUAUGCAACAUUUUUAGGUAUAUUAAUUUUGAGAGAGAACUUAUAACAAUAGUUAAUUCUUUGUGGUGUUGCCAGCAGGGCAAACACUUCUCCUCAUAUUAUAUACCAAAUUGUUCUAUAUAGCAUUAUUUCGAUCUCUUCGUUGUUCGGCAAAAAGAGAAGCUUUGGAAUAGAACAUACAUGGCCAAGAAUUCAUUUUAUCUGGGAAAAAUCACCAUAUAACUAGCUUUUGAUGAAGCAAAUGAUGAUAACUGCUUGGCAAGAACGAAACAAGACUAGUAUCCGCCUAGGAUCCAUCUUCAACAACAGAUAUUACUGCUCUCAUACGAAGAAAUCAUUAGGAGUAGAGAGGAUACAACAGGUCUCUACAAGAUCUUCAUAUUUCUAUCACAAAUUAUCAUCACUAGUAGUUUAUAGGUCAAGAAUUAUGGAUCUUCCGGUGCCAAGGACCAAUGACAUAUUAAUGCCCAAUUACACUUCAAGCUCUGUGGUGAUGUGGGAUUUCAUAGUUAUUUGUCUACUCUUCUCACUUCUGGUAGAUCAGAGGUAGAUAAUGGUAAGCAUGCCAAUGGGUGGAAUUCAGUGUAGUUUGGCUACAUAAACCCCCAUGUAUGUGUCCAUUCAGGACCGACCUUUACCAUUUAGCUUACAGUGUAUACCAAACUUGUCAAAGGACUAUCUCAAGUCAAUUCAGUGACUAUAAGUAUUUACAAUUCCGAGAGAUGUAUGCGGCACAAGCAUAGAGGUCCUACAUAGAACGAGUAAAGUGGUUCGACGGGAACACACUAUGGUUUUCACACCAACAUAGUGAAAAUUUUCUCAGAAUAACCUCUCGGUAUACUCGCAACUUCGUGUUGCUAGCGAUUACAUGUCCUUUUAUCUCAUAAUUUGCUUCAUGUCAUUCAGCGACAAAGAGAGCAAUGUGCUAACAUCUGGUUGAGCAAUGUAUGCUGAGAUUUAUAGUCUUAAAUUAUUUGGUAAGGCCUUUUGCUUACUAAUAGAAUCCCAAUUUGUGAUGUCUUAUAUGCCAAAAAGGCUUCCAUGCAUUAUAUAUCUUCAGGUUACUUCAGGUAAAACUUUAUGCAUGAGGAAAGAGAGCACGGAAUUAACUUAUCUGUGUUCUAUAUUAUUUCAUUUACUUUCCCAGAUUAUUCAAGCACUAUAGAGCUUGAUAUAGUUGUUAUAGCCACUUGGCAAUAUAAAUAAAUAUAUAAUACCACACAACACAGUCAAAUAAAAUAUAGAGCCAAACAAAAUUGUUUAUGAAGGUUGCGCAUAAUAUGACUUUAGGGGCUUGAACAAUUCACGCGAGUACAAGCUCUAGUGUAUAUGGCGUCAACACAUGUGCGGCCAUCAGGGCUACAACAACAAAUAAGCCUUCGCAACAAGCGCAACAGGCGCAAUUGUGGCUCGGUAGUUGGGUACAGGACAAGUCCACGCAACAUGCGCAACAGGCGCAAUUGUGGUUCGAUGAUCACGACAGACGGAUAGUGCCUACAGGGCUGCGAAAAAUGCGCGACCCGGCGAUGGCGGUCCGACUCAACGGGAGCGGUCCGAUGAAACGAGAGUGCAACAUAGCAAUCACAUGACGCAACCAAGUUCAUACGACACAAAUACUGCGUCGUGUUGCCAGGGCGCAGCCAAUGCUUAGCCAAUGUCAAAACUCAUCUGAUUAAUAAUUUAGUCUGAUCGGCAUAUCCGGAUACCCACUAUACAAUUUAAUCGCUCGACGUGAGUUUGAAGGCUCCACGUAUUAGAAAUAUUUAGAGCGAUAUGAAAAAACGUAGCAUAGCCUUCACAUGCAUUUUAAUAAUUUACUGCUAAUUAUUUACUAUGAGAAAUAAAAGCAGAAAAAUAAUAGAAUUAAUGCAUGUGCAUAAGCAGAUCACGUGUCAUUAAGGCAAUUUUCCCAUAUUCAAGCAUGCAUUUUCUACUAAUUAUUUACUGCGGGAAAUAAUUACUUAAAGUAGAAAUUGCAACAUAAAACAUGCUUCGUUCUAUUUAUUAUUUGCAGUAUAAAAUAAAUAGAAUAAAUCAUAUAAAAGAUGCAUAUAAAUUAAAAUUCGACCGACUUAAUUCAACGGGAAUUAAUAGGAAAAAUGGUAAGCCUUUUUUUUCUAGCCGUAUGCACUCAUGCGACAUCACGUGUGGAAGACGGCCACCAACAACCAGAUCCAUAUUUUUAGCAGCUUCUUUGACUAGGCACUUUUUUUUAACCGCACAGCUAUGCUGAUGUAACUGUUUUGACUAGUUCGAUGUAGCUGCAUGACGCGCGCACGGUCCAACCGAGACCGAACCUGACCGCUCCUUUUAUUUAUUUACUCCUUCUUUCACGGACAUGCAAAGACCGCAUCACGGUUCCCAUGCAUGCGGCCAUGCGGAUGGGAGAUGCAGCGGCACGCGGAGGAGCUGUUCCGCGAGGGCACUGGGCGUACAACAGGCUGCAUGCGGUUCGAGAAGACAGGCCGCAUGGUAGGCUGCUUUUUUUUCCUUUUUUUUCUCACGUCUCCAUGCGAACCGUAACAGCCAUCAAGGUUAUAGGAAAAAAAAAUCUAGAUCGGCAAUCACGAUCCGCUAUCCUGGAGGUGCCGGCAUGCACGGCUCCCGGCCCUUUAUUUCGCAAGGCAACGGUGUGGCUCCAGGCUUUAUCGUGAACUGCAGCACGACAUCUCGGCGCAUGGACCGAGACCAGUCGACCAUUGAAUGGUGCUCUGCUCCGACCAACAGCAUGCACACGGGCUCGUAGGCGAUAUACGCGAUGAACAGUAAAUUGCAGAUCCACUUAAGAUUUCAUACCGUUUGAUUGCGUAGAGGGAAAAUCGAAGCCUGUCGCGUAGGACAGUUCGGCUAGGCCGGAGACCUGCCGGAUUGACGGAGAGUUGAUGCAGAUCUGAUCCCGCAGCAACAUCGAGGUAGAGCGUGCUGAUAACGUGUUGAGAACUACGUCACCACGGAUCACCAGAUCCGCUCCUUUCCCUCCCGUCAGCAGAUUAGGCGCGAGAAGAUGUGGAAGACCCGUAUCCCUUCCCAGAAGCACGACAGAGAGCACACAAGACACAUGAUGUAGGGUUGGGCAUCUGGCCUCUUUCUCUUCUCCAUAUUAUGAAGG
rnacentral:lncRNA from 1 species